GCCCAGGCUCCAGAGAUCCACCUUCUCAUCAUGCAUCCGGCCUUCAAUCAUCUCCGGGGGCAGGUAGUCCAGGGUGCCGCACAGCGUGGUUCUCCUGAAACAGACGAGGCUGAGGCUGACGCACUGACAUACUACUGGGUGAUGUGAGCGCUCCCCUAUGGCAGGCCAGCACUCUCAGACAGGUGCCCAUCUAAAUGGGCAGGGGGAAAGCAUUUAUGAUCACACACUAGCCACCAAACGUCCCUCAGACCCAUCCAACGCCAGAACCUCUUAGGAAAUCCAGGGAAAUGGUGACUCCUCUCGUUCCACUAACGCCUUAGAGGCUGAGACAGGACAGUGAAGACUGGAGGCCAGUCGGGGCUUUGAAGCAAGAUGACAUCUCAGCAAACAAUGACAAAGUUGCUAUACAUUACUUGCUUUGUAAAUACAUCUUGGGGUUCCACAUGAGUCUCAGUGACAUCACCACCAUUUUAGGCAUGGUACACUGACUCAUACCUGUAGUCCCAACAUCUGGUAGGAUGAGGCAGGAGGAUUGACAGAGGUUCAAAGCCAACCGGGCUACAGUGUGAGAUUAUUUCCUUUAUGAGGGGAAAAGGAAGGUCUUGGAAAGGGAAGAGUCUACAAAAUCAAAGCGGCAGCCAUGUGUGCCUCAUGGAACUUCACUGGGUCUUCAGGACUGUUUGGUUCGAGGGUCUAAAGAUUUUAUCUUCAUUUUACAUGUCUCUCUGUACACACAGAUGCUGUGUCCAAGGAGACCAGAAAGAAUGUCAGAUCUGGAACUGGAGUUACAGAUGGUUGUGAGCCACCAUGGGGGUGCUGAGAACUGAAUCCAGGUCCUCUGCAAAAGCCUUCAGUGCUCUCAGGAGCUGAGCCAUCAUCCCUCCAGCCUUGGUUUUUUUUUUUAAGGUAUCUUGCUAUGAAGCCAAGACACCACUCCAAACAGGUGUUCUCUGGCCCCAGUCCUCUGGCUGCUCUGGGAUCACAGGCAUGUGCCACCAUGCCCAACUGAGUUCUGUUUUUAAGACAGUCUUACCAGACUUCCCUCUCCACCUCUAGGGUGCUGGGAUUAAAGGAGCUUGGUUGUUUCCCACUUACCUUCCACAGAGGGCUGUGUGUGCUUAUAGAGUGAUUUUAAAGCAGCUAUAAGAUUCCAUGGACAGCUGGAGAAAUCAGAGUGUGGACUAAAUAUCGCCUGUUAAGAAUUAUGCGAACCUUCUUGGAGGUCACAAUGGUAUGACUGUGCAGAGCACAUUCCACUAUCUUAGGGGAUACACACGGAGACAUCACAAUGUGAUAUCACAAUUGACUUUAAAUGUCCACAACGCUAUGACCAGUGUCCAGGGCCCCAGAGUAGAGCUGUGUCCAAGGCUCUAGGGUGGAGCUGUGCCCAGGGCUCUAGGGUGGAGCUGUGCCCAGGGCUCUAGGGUGGAGCUGUGCCCAGGGCUCUAGAGUGGAGCUGUGGACCUCUGUGCCACCAUCACCAACUCAUUUUCUAUCCAUUUGGGUCUUGAAAAUGAAAGCUGGAAUCAACCAGGAACAGACAAUGGAGGCUACUGUGGGAUCUCCAAAGGAUGGUCCCCAAUAACCAGGCAGCUCUGAUGGGGACAGGAUUUGAAAGCUAUUGGAGGAGCUGACAAGACUCACAUCUAUGAUCUCUCCUGAAACCUGCAAGCUGGGUCUGUCCUGAUGCCACCACUAUACAGGUUACAGUCCCAUGGCACCUACAACUCUGGGAUUUGUGUCACUGUGUCACAGGAGCUACCACCCAUGUCAGUUACAACAGCCUGCCACAGUGCUGCUGGAGAUAAACAGGGCCUCUGCUAACCUGGAAUCCCUACGUACCUGGAAGAUGGAGCGUGUACGGACCAUCCGAAGUCUGCGAUCUUCAACUCUCCAUUUGAGCCAAGCAGCAAGUUCUCUGGCUUAAUGUCUCUGUGGAUUACUCUCUUUGAAUGACAGUAAGACAGAGCGUUUGCCAACUCAGUGAUGUACUGUUGGGAGAAAAGCACAGGAGGCCCAGGGCUUAGGUUUAUGUAAGGCAGUCAGGCACCUGAAAGCUGAUCCAACAUGGACUAACGUGUUUCUUUUCAGAUCUUGAAGCAAACACCAUAGAAAAGGGGGUAAGUCUGUCAACACCAGCUGCAGACUGACAGACUCACUCAGGACUCAGCUAACACAAUGCUCACACGAGUAGUGUAAUCUUGAGAGGCAGGGAAGGCACUGGCUGUAAGCUGGACUUGCAGAAUGGCACAGCUACCGACAGAACAGUCAAGCAGUUUUAGACAUUUAAACGGCCCUGACCAGGUGCAGACCUUGACCUUCCAUGGCCUCCACAUCUGAAGAAUCUCUUGCCAGUCCCAGUCUGCUCUGCGUCCGUAACGGCAUACUGAGGAGAACUAUGUUAAGUUUUAAUCUACAUGAAAGGUAAGCAAAGACGAAACCUGUCUUUCUAUUUGCUUCUUGUUGAGCCUGCCCAGGCCUGGGGUGAGAUGGACUCCAGGAGUGGCUGCCUACUGCAUGCACAAACCACCUCAGCUGGAGUGUGUCAAGUGCUUAAUUGGCAAAAAAUUUUCCCAAAAGGAAAAGAAGAUCAGACUUUGUAAUUGUUAUUUUUAUGAAGCAUCACCUGUCUCAAUGUUUUAUAAACAUUCUUCUCCACCAUCCUUCUGAUUGGUCUAAUAAAGAACUGAACGGCCUAUGGCAAAGCUGGAAAGGAUAGGCGGGACUUGCAGAGAUAGGAACUCAAGAAAAGUUAUCAAGUGUGGGGAGUGGUGGGCCAGAAGCAGAGGAAGAAAUAAGUCACCAGGACUGGUUGUAUAAAAGAGACAGAAGGAGCCAUGUGGCAGAAUGCAGAUUAGUAUAAAUGGGCCCAUGUAAGUUAUACAAGCUAGUUGGGAACAAGGCUAAGCCAAGGCCAGCUGUCAUAUUAAUAAAAAGCCUCUGUGUCAUUAUAUGGCUGCUGGCUAGUCAAGACAGACCAGUGAUAUGAUUUCUUAUUAACGGCCAAUUCUAGAAAACGAUUGGUGGGGGUGGCUGUAAGUCAGGUGGGCAUGACGGCAGCCUUGAUCGCAGCAUGGAGGAAGCAAACGGGGAUGGAGAAAGGAAAAAGAACUGCUGUGCUUUAAGGACAAGAGACUGGCCACAAAGUACCGUGAGAAGGGAGGAGGGGAGCGCUCAGACUGGGAGGAGAUGUCUCAGGACACACAGGAUGGGAGCUGAGGGAACUACAAUGCAACAACGGGGAAAAGAAAUACACAGGCAUCUCAUGACAGACACAAAUGGCAAAUAGCCUGUGUCACAUGGCACUGGAAACCACAGACCUACAGAGAUGACUACCCUGUGCCCCAAACCACGGUAGCAAAUGCCCGAGGAAUUCUGACGUGGGCACACUGUGAGACACUUACAUACACACUGGAAUGCAUAACAAGGAGGCAGUGAGUGCCGUGUACAGUGAAGCCCAAGAAGAGGGGGUGUCCACAAUGCCCCACAUGCAAUGGAUGAGCUCAAGACAGAUGGGUACUGAUCACUAAACAAUCAUGCACGAGCCCCCUACAUUCUCCCCAGCUGAAGACCUCGAAGCAACAACAGCCAAGCAGCCAGAGUUUCCAGGAGACCUCAGUUCCCAAUAACAUUCUCCAACAAAGGAGCUAAGAUCCUCAAGGAAGAAAUGGCUGCCUCUAGGACCAGGCCUGGAAGUCAAGGUGAGGCCAAGGACACGGCACCAGAAAGAAAACACACAGCCCAAAGCCCCACAGUGGUGGCUUAUGUAGAAACCACCCAGGAGACAACGCUACAACAACAAAAUAAAGUAGUGCUGGCCAAACAGGUCCUCUGCAUUUUAAGUUAAAAGACAGGAAAGACUGGUUAUUCUCCCAGAGGACCCAGGUUCAGUUCCUAGCUCCUACAUGGGUGUUCACAACCGUCUGGAACUCUAGUUCCAGGGAACUGGACUCCCUGUUCUGGCCUCUG